rnacentral:rRNA from 1 species
AUUGAACGCUGGCGGCAGGCCUAACACAUGCAAGUCGAACGAGUGGCGGACGGGUGAGUAAUGUCUGGGAAACUGCCCGAUGGAGGGGGGUAACUACUGGAAACGGUAGCUAAUACCGCAUACCAUCGGAUGUGCCCAGAUGGGAUUAGCUAGUAGGUGGGGUAACGGCUCACCUAGGCGACGAUCCCUAGCUGGUCUGAGAGGAUGACGGGCAAAGCGGAAACUGAUAAAUGGCCCAGAGUCCGACGGGAGGAAGCAUGGGGGAAUUGUUAACAAUGGGGGCAACAUGGAUGCGCCCAUGCGGGGGGUAUGAAGAAGGCCUUCGGGUUGUAAAGUCCUUUCGGCGAGGAGGAGUGACUCGAAGAGGAAGCACAGGAGAACUCCGUGCCAGCAGCCGCGGUAAUAC